AAAAGUGCUGUUUGUCCACAGUGUCUGUGUGGUUGUUCUUUGUGUGUCACCUCUGUGGUCGCUCAGGAGAACGUGGUUGGCUCGUUGCUCUUUGUGUGUCACCUCUGUGGUCGCUCAGGAGAACGUGGUUGGCUCGUUGUUCUUUGUGUGUCACCUCUGUGGUCGCUCAGGAGAACGUGGUUGGCUCGUUGCUCUUUGUGUGUCACCUCUGUGGUCGCUCAGGAGAACGUGGUUGGCUCGUUGCUCUUUGUGUGUCACCUCUGUGGUCGCUCAGGAGAACGUGGUUGGCUCGUUGCUCUUUGUGUGUCACCUCUUUGGUCGCUCAGGAGAACGUGGUUGGCUCGUUGCUCUUUGUGUGUCACCUCUGUGGUCGCUCAGGAGAACGUGGUUGGCUCGUUGUUCUUUGUGUGUCACCUCUGUGGUCGCUCAGGAGAACGUGGUUGGCUCGUUGCUCUUUGUGUGUCACCUCUGUGGUCGCUCAGGAGAACGUGGUUGGCUCGUUGCUCUUUGUGUGUCACCUCUGUGGUCGCUCAGGAGAACGUGGUUGGCUCGUUGCUCUUUGUGUGUCACCUCUUUGGUCGCUCAGGAGAACGUGGUUGGCUCGUUGCUCUUUGUGUGUCACCUCUGUGGUCGCUCAGGAGAACGUGGUUGGCUCGUUGCUCUUUGUGUGUCACCUCUGUGGUCGCUCAGGAGAACGUGGUUGGCUCGUUGCUCUUUGUGUGUCACCUCUGUGGUCGCUCAGGAGAACGUGGUUGGCUCGUUGCUCUUUGUGUGUCACCUCUGUGGUCGCUCAGGAGAACGUGGUUGGCUCGUUGCUCUUUGUGUGUCACCUCUGUGGUCGCUCAGGAGAACGUGGUUGGCUCGUUGCUCUUUGUGUGUCACCUCUGUGGUCGCUCAGGAGAACGUGGUUGGCUCGUUGCUCUUUGUGUGUCACCUCUGUGGUCGCUCAGGAGAACGUGGUUGGUUCGUUGUUCUUUGUGUGUCACCUCUGUGGUCGCUCAGGAGAACGUGGUUGGCUCGUUGCUCUUUGUGUGUCACCUCUGUGGUCACUCAGGAGAACGUGGUUGGCUCGUUGUUCUUUGUGUGUCACCUCUGUGGUUGCUCAGGAGAACGUGGUUGGCUCGUUGCUCUUUGUGUGUCACCUCUGUGGUCGCUCAGGAGAACGUGGUUGGCUCUGAGAUCAACCCUCAACCACUUCACAUGAAGAAAACCCGCCCCAGCAGCAGCUAA
rnacentral:lncRNA from 1 species